rnacentral:rRNA from 1 species
AUACAGAGGGUGCGAGCGUCAAUCGGAAUUACUGGGCGUAAAGCGCGCGUAGUCGGCUUAUUAAGUCAGAUGUGAAAUCCCCGGGCUCAACCUGGGAACUGCAUCUGAUACUGGUAAGCUAGAGUUUUGGAGAGGGAAGUAGAAUUUCAGGUGUAGCGGUGAAAUGCAUAGAGAUCUGAAGGAAUACCAGUGGCGAAGGCGACUUCCUGGCCAAAAACUGACGCUGAGGUGCGAAAGCGUGGGUAGCAAACGGGAUUAGAAACCCGAGUAGUCC